UUAAACAUAUUUCUCAUUUGAUAAUAUAUAGUAAAAGGGAUGGAUAUUAAAAAAAAACAUUAAGAAAUAAUUAACACUAAUUAUUAGAGCUGAAAAUCUAAAACUCUCUCUUUAUUCAAUCAUGCAAGUCAAAAUGCUACCAAAGAGCUGAAAAUCCAAUUUAAAUCUAAAAAAAACUAAUAAUGAACCACUAGAGAGAGAAAAUUGGACACUAAAAAAAUUAAUACACAAAAUAAAUAGCGUAAUCUAAAGAUUUAAAAUUUAUAGAGAACAUUGAUGUGACCUAAACAAAGAGUGCCACAGCUCCAAGCAAACCAAACAAAGACAUGGUAUAUCCUCGUGUAGAAACAGCAAAGCUUGGUGUGGACUUAACCGGAGUCAUAGCCGGCGCGUUGUCGGCGGAGGGACCAGACGGAGAAGGACCCAUUGGUGGCGGUGCUGAACUCAUUGAUGGGGUUGGUGUAGGAGCCAUUGGUGAAGGAGGUGAUGAGCUCAUUGAUGGGGUUGGUGCCAUUGAUGGGCUUGGGGUAGUUGGAACCACGGUGGGGGAGGGUGAAGAAGUUGGAGUCAUAGCUGGUGUCAUAGUGGUGGUGGGUGGUGGAGCUCCGCCGCUUGACGGUGGCAUUGUGGGUGAUGCCGAUGGGAUCUGAGAUGCUGAAUUUGAUAUUAAAGCAAUCAUUAAA
rnacentral:lncRNA from 1 species